GAUGAACGCUGGCGGCGUGCCUAAUACAUGCAAGUCGAGCGAACAGACGAGGAGCUUGCUCCUCUGACGUUAGCGGCGGACGGGUGAGUAACACGUGGGUAACCUACCUAUAAGACUGGGAUAACUUCGGGAAACCGGAGCUAAUACCGGAUAAUAUAUUUAACCGCAUGGUUCAAUAGUGAAAGACGGUUUUGCUGUAACUUAUAGAUGGAUCCGCGCCGCAUUAGCUAGUUGGUAAGGUAACGGCUUACCAAGGCAACGAUGCGUAGCCGACCUGAGAGGGUGAUCGGCCACACUGGAACUGAGACACGGUCCAGACUCCUACGGGAGGCAGCAGUAGGGAAUCUUCCGCAAUGGGCGAAAGCCUGACGGAGCAACGCCGCGUGAGUGAUGAAGGUCUUCGGAUCGUAAAACUCUGUUAUUAGGGAAGAACAAAUGUGUAAUUAACUAUGCACGUCUUGACGGUACCUAAUCAGAAAGCCACGGCUAACUACGUG
rnacentral:rRNA from 1 species